rnacentral:rRNA from 1 species
GCCCUUUUUUUACAAAAACAUGUCUUGAUGAUUUAUUUUAUAUUAAGUCUAACCUGCUCAAUGAUUUUAUUAAUUAAAUAGCCGCAGUAUUUUGACUGUGCGAAGGUAGCAUAAUCAUUUGUCUUUUAAUUAAAGGCUUGUAUGAAUGGUUGGAUAAAGGAAUAACUUUCUUUAUAUUAAAUGUUGAAUUUAAUAUUUUAGUUAAAAAGCUUAAAUGUUAAAAAGGGACGAGAAGACCCUAUAGAAUUUUAAUAUAAUUUUAGAAAUAUAUUUAUUUGGUAAAUAAUAAUAAUUUCUGGAAUUAUAUUUUUGUUGGGGCGACAUUAGGAUUGGUAAAACUCCUAUAAAUUAAUAUUUACUAAUUUGUAUAUUUUAGAUCCUAUAUUAAGGAUUAUUAGAUUAAAUUACCUUAGGGAUAACAGCGUAAUUUUUUUGGAGAGUUCUUAUCAAUAAAGAAGUUUGCGACCUCGAUGUUGGAUUAAAAUUAGAUUUAAGUGCAGAAGCUUAAUUUCUAGGUCUGUUCGACCUUUAAUAUUUUACAUGAUCUGAGUUCAACCCGGAA